GACGAGCGCUGGCGGCGUGCUUAACACAUGCAAGUCGAACGAUGAAGGAGAGCUUGCUCUCCGGAUUAGUGGCGAACGGGUGAGUAACACGUGACUAACCUGCCCCCUUCUCUGGGAUAACGCUCCGAAAGGAGUGCUAAUACCGGAUACGAACUCUGAACACAUGUUCGGAGUUGGAAAGUUUUUCGGAAAGGGAUGGAGUCGGGGCCUAUCAGCUUGUUGGUGAGGUAACGGCUCACCAAGGCGACGACGGGUAGCCGGCCUGAGAGGGCGACCGGCCACACUGGGACUGAGACACGGCCCAGACUCCUACGGGAGGCAGCAGUGGGGAAUAUUGCACAAUGGGCGAAAGCCUGAUGCAGCGACGCCGCGUGAGGGAUGAAGGUCUUCGGAUUGUAAACCUCUUUCAGUAGGGACGAAGCGAAAGUGACGGUACCUAAAGAAGAAGCACCGGCUAACUACGUGCCAGCCGCCGCAGUAA
rnacentral:rRNA from 1 species